GAUGAACGCUGGCGGCGUGCCUAAUACAUGCAAGUCGAGCGAACAGAUGAGGAGCUUGCUCCUCUGACGUUAGCGGCGGACGGGUGAGUAACACGUGGAUAACCUACCUAUAAGACUGGGAUAACUUCGGGAAACCGGAGCUAAUACCGGAUAAUAUAUUGAACCGCAUGGUUCAAUAGUGAAAGACGGUUUUGCUGUCACUUAUAGAUGGAUCCGCGCCGCAUUAGCUAGUUGGUAAGGUAACGGCUUACCAAGGCAACGAUGCGUAGCCGACCUGAGGGGGUGAUGGCCCACAGGGUAACUGACACACGGACCACACUCCUAGGGGGGGCCGCAGUGGGGAAUAUUGGAAAGUGGGCGAAAGCCUGAGGAAGCCACGCCGCGUGGGUGAAGAAGGUCUUGUGCUUGAAAAACUGUUUUAUUGGGAAAAAAAAGUAGUUCAAUAAUAUACCCCUGUUUGGAGGUUACCUAAUAAAAAAGCCCGGGCAAACUCGGUC
rnacentral:rRNA from 1 species